GCAUUAUAUGAUACCAAGUGAUACACCGUAAAAAUCGCCUAGGUCUUCUCCUAAGCGAUAGGCCAGAGGUUCGAAUCCUCUUAGGUGCGCCA
rnacentral:tRNA from 1 species